rnacentral:rRNA from 1 species
CCAAUAGCGUAUAUUAAAGUUGUUGCAGUUAAAAAGCUCGUAGUUGAAUUUCGAGACCGGCUUACUGGUCGUGCUUUUGUGCGUACUGGUAUAAUCGGUUUCUCCUUUCUGACGAACUUUAAUGCCAUUAAUUUGGUGUUUUAGGGAAUCAGGACUGUUACUUUGAAAAAAUUAGAGUGUUUAAAGCAGGCUCACGCUUG